CUAUUCUCGGACCUUCAUUUCACCGUCGUCUUCCUCUGGGCUCUGGUAUACGCCAGAUUUUCAUGUUUAUGUGAAUCUGUAAUUGACUGAUUUGUAGAGUGCUUAGGCUACUGUAGAUUCAAGUCUGCGGAUGUCUCUCGCGAUUCAAGCAGUUCCUCAAUUUCUUCCCUCAGGCAGCACAAUGCCCGCUCAAUGGUUAUCUCUAACCCAAAAUUUUUCCAAAUUUUCCCUCAAUUAUCCAACGUCAGUCCCCUUUCGGACGAUUCCGAUAUGGAUGGGCUGUCCCCGGAUCAGUCCAGGAGGGCCCACGAAAAGGAAAUGGAGGACAAUGCAGGCCAAGAAGGCAAAGCAGCUGCAUAAGGCUGGAUUGGCCAGAGAACGCGAAAUAUACAAGUUGAGGAAACAGGCUGAACUCAGAGCCGCUACUGUCGAACUCGAACGCCCAUGGGAGAGGGCUGCGCCGCCGAAAAAUGCGUUGGAUGCUGGUGUCGAGGAGCGUUUGGAUGAUUGGUUUCAGAAGCCCGAUGGCCUUCAUUUGUUAUCUGAUAGGGACAGCCAUGGCAAUAUAUUGCUGUCGUCUUCUGGCUUUUCACCUGAAGGGGUUGGUCAUAGGGUUUAUGGGAAUACGGGGGAAAUGAUUCCUGCGUCUGAGGAUAUUUGCUUCCCCCCUUUGGAAGAGGACUUCUACACUCAGCCAAACAAUGUAAAUGUGAGGAAAUCAAGUCAGCAAAAAACGUGGCCUUGCAAGAAUUCUAGAAGCCGAAGGAGUGCUUCAUAUAAAGGAGAAAGCGGGAAGAAUGGCAGAAAAAGUUGGAAGUGAGGAAGGAGAGAGUUCUAGCAACAUUUACUUUAUUAACUGGAAAGGAAGAAGUUCUGUAGAUGCAGGAUUUCCUAGUAGGGGUGACAAUCAUGGGAGAAGCAGAGGGUAGAUGGGAAUUUGAUUAAAGAACGAAGGAUGUUAAUGGUUCUCCUACGAGUGCAGAUGGAGUAGUGGAUUUCACUUUUAUUUGAUACCAAAGUUCAUAGCUUUUCUAUCGAAAAUUUGGGUCUAAUGCCAUUCGUCAGCUAUAUCUAUUGAUUGGAGCAACAGAAUGAAGGCUGAAGAUUGUGAACACAGGUUUACCGUUCUGUCUCUGUUACUGAAGAAUUUCUUGUUGCCUCUGUGAUUGAACGAAGAUGGGAAUUUUCUCAAAAAACGUCUAUUUGAUCUCUCCUAUGAGUUUGACCACUUCCCACGUGGUAAAAUCUUAGUGGGGCAGCUGGAUAUGGAUUCGGAUUGAGGAAUUCUGAAACAACCCUUUAGAAUUUGUAGUAAUUAGAAGCUAUCUCAUCUCGAGUACACAAAGAACCACAUGCAAAGGUUUAGAGCAAAGCAUAUUUUACCAAGAAUGCUGACAGGCAGCGGCGGAUCUAUUAAGGAAGGAGCAAGGGUGGGCUCCACUUCAACUCCACUUUUAUUUUAUUUUAUUAAAUUUUUUUUUAUUUUUAAAAGAAUAAUAUAUAUACAAUCUAUAUAAAAUAUUU